AAACUGAAAACUGUUUAUUCUUGAUAUUUGAAUAGGUAGAUCAAGUGGCGCAGCUUCGAGAGGAAGUUGAAUUGAAGAAACUUGCUCAAGAUAAAUACAGAAGAAAGCUAACAAAGAUACAAAAGACAAGUGCCCCUCCGGUUGAUGAAAUAGAAUCUUUGAGAAGGUUCAAGCUGGAGGAAGAAAUUAUUGAUGCAGAAUACACUCUGACAUGUGACAGAAUUGUGAGCUUGAAGGACAAGGUAGGUUUUCCCGUGUAUGACUGACC